rnacentral:rRNA from 1 species
UACAGAGGGGGCAAGCGUUGUUCGGAAUUACUGGGCGUAAAGCGUGCGUAGACGGUUAUUUAAGUCGGGUGUGAAAGCCCCGGGCUCAACCUGGGAAUUGCAUUCGAGACUGAAUAGCUAGGGUACGGUAGAGGGAAGUGGAAUUUCCGGUGUAGCGGUGAAAUGCGUAGAUAUCGGAAGGAACAUCAGUGGCGAAAGCGACUUCCUGGACCAGUACCGACGUUCAGGCACGAAAGCGUGGGGAGCAAAUAGG